AAGACAAAUUAAAUAUUGUGGCUAAAAUUAAUUUAAAAAAAAAAAAAACCUUUUCGUCAAAGAGAGGUGGAGAUUGCAUUUCAGAAUGAAGGGUGUCUGCUGGUGAGCUCGUAGAGAUGAAUCUUAACAUAUUAUUGCAACCACCAAUCUCGAGGUUUAGUAAAGAAGGGAAUUCAACAACUAAAUCUGAAUGAAUAUGUCCCGUAUUGGCAAAGCUCGUUAGUUUUGGAAGCACACAAAGCCGUAAGGAGUGUAGUUUAGGAAAAACCUCUAACUCAAUCAACUUUCCUUCAUCUCUUCCUCCUAACCACCCUGUGGUGUCGACUACCCCUUCCAUCGACUUACAAGAUCUUAUCACAAGAUGUUGGAGUUGCAAAAGACUAUUAACCAUAGAAUAUGAAAACAGAUACUUCAGACGAUCACAACUUUCCACGGUCAUUUUUGUUAAAUUUCCACAAUAAGACACUCCCUGAAACUGUUCGGGCCAUAAUUUUUCAAUGGUUGUUAACCAUAUAAGUUUCAACUCCUCCAAGCGUGGAAAAAUAACCUGAAGCAAAACGGUACGCUUUUGUUCCGUCAAUUACAACUGUCUAAUAUAAUAAUCUUUUGAUGAUUGAAGAUCAAUCGUGAUAAUAUAUUAAUUUAUUAAUUAUAAAACAGAAAAUUAUCACCUUGUGAACAGAAUCAUCCUCUGCAAUGAUUUCUGUCAAUCCCUGAGUAGCUGUUGGCUUCUCCAUGUCGGGCCCUAUAAAUGAACAAAAACAAUCUAUAAUUAACCUCUGUCCUUUUUUUUUUAAAAAAAAGAGAAAAAAGAAUGAGCCAAUGUCAAUAAUCCUACCAAUAAUUAAUUUCAACACUUACCAAUAAUCAUUUUCAAAUCAUCGCAGUUUUCCACUUCUACUUUUUGAAGCCGCAAUAGGUUUUUGGCCAUGAAGAAUGAGAAGAGAUGCUUCAAUUUGUCACAAAAAAAUACUUUUAUAAUCCUUAAGUUGCUGAAAGAUUGAUCUUCUCUGAGUUGGCUGUAGCAUAUCGUUUCCAAAUUAGUUAAACCAAUAAGAUACAAUGUCUCCAGCAAGGGAAAGACUUUGCAACGAGCUCGUCCAAUUGAACCGACAAUAUGUAAAAUCUCAGGACAGCCUGCUACUAGAAGAUGCUCCAAUUGUGGAAAACCUUCCCCAUCGUCUAAUUCAUGAACAACACUCGGAACACCAUUCAAUGUUACUAGACGGAGAUCUUCAGUUCUUUUUAGCAACAUUUUCAUCCCAUAAUUCUCCAAAAGAAUGCUAACGUUUUCUAGCUCCUGGAGUUUCAUUGAUCUUGAUGUUUCAGAUGUCAAUUUUUCUAGCUCCGUGAUAACUAUGGAUGCUGAUGCUCUAGAUGUGGCGAAGGACACAAGUCCAUUUCGUUGCACUUUUCCUAUACAUAUCUGAUACCUUUGCAAUUCCACAGAGACCAAAUCCUGCGGCAGAAUUUCGGGAUCCGGAACAUCUAUCUCCAAAGUAGUUAGCUUUGACAACCCCUUCAACUCGACAAGACUGGCAUUACUUCCUCCUUCAACCUUAUCCCACUGUGAAAAGCUGCAACCCAUGUACAGUUCUUCUAGUCGAGAUAAUUUGGAUAUGAUGUUAGGAAAUUGGUGGGUGCAGCAGGACCGCAGCUAAAAUAAAAUUGGAAAUAAAAUAAAGAACAAGCACACUAGAGGACACAAGAAAAUUACGUGGUUCGGCUUUUAGCCUACGUCCACGGGCGAAGACAGAAGGAAAUAUUUUACUAGUGAAAAGGAGUUACAAGUAUUGUAGUAUUUUAGCUCACUUCCCAAAAUCCCAAUACACCCAAACUCUCAAAACACUAAACACUCAAGAGUUUAUUAAACUCUUAAAACUCUCAACACUCAAAGAAAGCAAUGCUUCUCUCUCGAUGGAAUUGGAUGAAAAUGAAUGAGGAAGCUCUUCCUUUUAUAGCCAAAAAAUGGCUAUUAAAUUAAUAUAUAUAUGUAUAUAUUUCAAAUGUAGUUACCAACUUCUUCUUUUUCUCCAUUUGGAUGGCACCAUUUUCUUUGGCCGGCUGCACCAUUUUCUUCUUUCAAAUGUCAAACCCUUCUAGAUGCAGCCAUGCCAAACACUUCUAGAUGCAGCCAACUUUGACAUAUGACAUUCGGUGUUAUCACCUCAAGCCUCCUACAAUUGCUCAAAUCCAGCAACUGUAACCGCGUCAAUUGUCCAAAUUCAAGUGGCAACCGCUCAAUAUCGGAACCUCGAAAGCUAAGAAUCUCUAAUUUCUUUAGCUGUCCAACUAUUACUAUAUCUUUUAGUCGGCAAUAUUCUAAACACAAUGUUUGAAGGUUAAUGAGGCGACCAAGUGAUGAAGGUAAUGAAGAGAAGUGAAUUCCAGUAAAAUUCAAAACUCUGAGUCCUUCCGUCCCAUCAAAAAAGUGGUCUGAAAUUGGCAUAGAGCCACCACCCUUUUCAAGCAACAAAAGUAACUCGAGACGGGGACAUUGCAACCUUUCAGGAAGCACUUGAAUACCUCUAUAAGGUAAAGAAAUAGCAAUUGGACCUUCCUGUACUGUCUCUUCCAUCUUUUUGUCCAAGUCGGCAACAUUUGGAAUAUUAAACAUGAGCUCCUCUUUUGCAAUUGAUACGGCAACUACACGAAUGACGUCAUGCAUUUUGACUUCAUCUUCAGCAUCACCGUCCAACAAUAAGCAUGAAGAUUUGAGUUUGCUGAUCAACGUAUGCACUGUACUCCUUGCUUCUUCCGGUGUGUAAACGUUUCUAAAAUAGCCCAUACCCAUACCAUAUCUCAAUAAAGAAGAAACUGGUAUAGCAUGACCUUCACUAAAUAGACCACAAAGAAGGAACAGAGAUUUUGCUUCCUUAUUUCCCAGUAAGUCGUAACUCAAUUUCAAGGAGAGGUACACAUUUUUUUCCAUUCCAUCAAUUUCUUUUGCAUAGGAACUUCUUAGCUGACGCAGCACAUAUUUCCAAGUCUCAAGGCUCAUAUUUUUCAAAGCUUUUGCAAGUGUAAUCAGUGCAACCGGCAGUUCUCCGCAUCUUCCGACGAUCUCAUGUGCUAUAGGUUGAAAAGCAGAUGUUUUCAUUGAAUCACCCACUAUCUUCUGAAAUAAAUACAAUGCUUCUUCUUUUGAUAAAGCAUCGAUCUGGAUCUCUUUCUGAGAAUUCAUAACAUUGUGCAAUAAAUCUUGACGUCUAGACGUCAGUAUUAUUGUGCAUCGUCGCUGAUCAUCCAUUCUUUCUUUCUUAACAUCCCCGGAAGGAAUUCCAACUUCAUCGAACUUCAGUUCUCCCCAAAUAUUAUCCAAUAUAAUGAGAUGCCGCUCCUCGUUCUUCAAAACUCGACAUAGUCGAUUUGCUCUGUCGAAUAUACUCUCAUUCAACUCAAACUUUAUGCCUAAAUCAGAAGCAAGUUUGUCUUGAAUUUUCUGAUGAUCUGGGUUCUCUGUUACCUCAGCCAUAGCGACCUUAUCGAACAACUUAUCUUCCGUCACUUGCUUUGCAACUUGCUUGACGAGCGUGGUUUUACCCACUCCGCCCAUCCCGUAGACCCCAAUUAUGUUGAGCUUAUCAUCCUUCAACGCCUCCAAAACAUCUUGAAAUACUUUCUUUCUUGAGUCAAAGGCCUCGUAAUCUUUCACUUGCAUAUAUUCUGUACUCUUUGGAGCAGGACGAUAGGAAACACUAGAGAAGUUGCCUUUUCCCACGAGAUCAGCAGCAUCUUUUGCGGCCUUUGCUGCUUUUUUACUGAGUUUGUAACGAGACAACAAAUUUGGGCACAAUCCUUUGAAGCAAUACUUCUUGGCUCCAUUUUCAUCAUCAAUAAUGGAGUUUGCAACCCCUUCACUGAUGAAUUCAUCAACGCUAUGUAGCCAAUCUGCGACACCCUCAUAAAGCUCAUCCCCUUGUAGCCUAGCAUGAUUAACUGGUUGCUGCACCAUUUCUCUUUUACAUCCCAGCUGCAUUACUUGAUCUUUUAGCUCAUCUACGUAGCUCUGGUACUUGAACACAUAAGAUAUCUGCCGUAUAAUCGGUUUGAACAGUGACUUUGCACCUUCUGAUACGAUGCUUGAAAAACCACCGAGACAGAAUUCUACAGCCAUUGCCUGUUGCUUAACGAUGUAUGUGUAGUUUUUGGCUGUUAAAAAAAACAAAAAUUGGAUUCAAAUAAAUUAAAUGAACUAGAGGGGAAGAAAAAGAAAGAAACGACAACAAACAACUUUUUAGAGAAAGGUUGAUAUUGUUACAGAACACAUGUUCAUUUUUAACAAAUUGAUCAAUAACUCUAUUCGCUAUUUAAUUGAUAUUGUAACCAAUUUUAAGAGAAUAUAAUAAUAAUCCUUCGAUGCAUAAAUUUAGAAUUAGAUUUUUUAACUUUUUAUUUAAAUAUAAAUCUCAAUGGAAAAUUAUAAAAAUUUAGAGAUAAAAUUUUUCAAUCACCAAACGGAAAAACAGGGGAAUGAAAACAGAGGAAUCUUGUUUUACCUUUUUUUUUUUUUAACCUUCACUCUUGUUCUUAUAUAAAUAAUCUUGUUCUGAUGAUAGUGCUCGUGACUGCAGGAAAAUUUCUAGUGGAAACAACUCAAUUUCAGAAGAAUUUAUUCAAUUGACUCUGUACUUGAACUCGUUGGAUUGGUUGAUUUAUGAUUGACUGAAUUUAUUCAAUUCGGCCUAAAAGAUCUUUAACCAAAGUUUAAUAGCUAUCAUCUACUCCUUAAAAAAAAAUAUGUAUCUUUUUUAGAUUUGACUGAAUUUGAACUUGCUGGAUUGGUUUUUUUUAGAUUAUUAAAAUGGGGCACUGCAAAGUAAGUAUUCUAAAAUCUGUAUGUUGCUUUAGAAAAAGGGCUUUUCCCACUGAUCUUUAUUCUUCAAGUAAACUUAGAUACAAAGUAAAUCUAAAAAAAUGACAAACAAACAAUGAAAUAAACGACAACAAACUGGCAAUUUUGACACAAAGCCAACAAUUAAAAUUUAGGACAUUUUUUUUUCUUGCUUUCUUUUUUUGGAGGAUUAGAGAUUUUGGUAUUACCAGAAAGGUUUCAAGGGUCUGAGUUUCAAGGGUCUGAGUAGAAACCUAUAAUCUUUUGAAAAACUUUGUUUUUUUUUAAAAAAAAAUUUGGGGAAAGGAUGCAAAUUAACCAAAGGAAAUAAUAAGAGCACAGGCUUUAACAAUGAACAAUAACUUAAAACUCAUGCAAAAUAAAUUCAAUAUUAAAGCAAACCAGAGAAAUUUUUUUCUUGAAAAGUAGAUGGAAAUUAUGAAAGAACAGAUGUCAAGAUCAAGGAUCAGGGAUUCUACUACCCAAAAAAAAAAAAAAAAAAUUAAAGGAUUUGGAAAAUGUGCACCUAGAGUUGGUGAGCUUCUCUCUAUUCACUUGAAUAUUUAAGAACAGCUGGGGAAUGUGUGAGAAAAGAGUUGACGAGAGAAAUAACAAUGACUUGCAGAAGAAAAACCAUUAAUCAAGCACACCUUUUUAUAUCCUGUAUUUGGUUAUUGUUGCCCUCUUGACGCAUGUAGAGAAUAAUUAUGUGCAUUUUUGUUUUUAAUCCGCAUGCACUUUAAUGAUUAGUGCUCCUUUCAUAAAGCAGAUACCGGAAACACACAAAUAUCAUUUGAGAGAGAAACUAAACAGCAAAUCAUCAAAGUAAGAUCAAUAAUAUAUGAUUUGGUUAAUGCAUAUUCAAGAACAAAAACAAAAAUAAAUAAAUAAAGAAGGUUUGAUUUUGUUUUGCCAACGCUGCUUUUUUGUUAUUUCUCACUCAUCUUCAAUCCUCAAGUAAAAUUAGGUAAAAAGCAAAUAUAAUAAAAAAACAAACAAAUUAACAAAAAAAGAAAAAAAAACAUUGAUCUUGAGACAACUGAUACUUAAACAGAGAAUUCUUUAUUCUUUUUUACUUCCCCUCCCCCCCCCCCCCCCCCGGGCUCGAGGAUUAGUUUUUGCUAUUAACAGAGAGGUUUUAAGAGUCUGAAUAAAACCAGCGCUUUUUUUAAAAACCUCUUUUUUUUCUUUUUUCUUUUUUGGGAAGAUAGAUUCAAAUUAACCAAAGCUAGUAAUAAGAACACAGACCUUACAAAUGAACAAUAACUUACAACUCAAGCAACAUAAAUGAUAAGAUUAAAACAAACCGGAGAAAUUUUUCUUGGAAAAUAGACGGAAAUUAAGUAAGAACUGCUGUUAAAAGAAAUUAUUAGAGGAUUUAGGAGAAUGUGUACCUCUUUAAUUAUUUGGGAUCAGAGAGUUGAUGAGCUCUCUAUUCGCCUUGAAUAUUGAGUAAGAACUGGUAUUAAAAGAAAUUAUUAAGAACAAUAUUUUAGUGAGCAAAAUAUCACUGUUAACUGCAGAGGAAUUUUGUGAGUAAAAUGCUGAAAGAGCAGUAACAAUGAAUUGCAAAAGAAGAAGACUUAACCAAGCACCCCUUCUAUACCCGAUUUUUAAGAUUUAAUUUUGAAGUUCAGAAUCAAGAACAAAGACGAAGCUUUAAUAAAGCAUGCAGUGAGAUACAAGAAAUGGAUCGGGCAAAAUACCUUACGAAGCGUUUCAUAUUUUCUAAUGAAAUAAUUUAGUUGAAGUUUUCGACGAAUAAAUACCUGUUGUGCUUGAAUAAUUUUGGCAUAUACAUUACUUGUAUCCGGCGAAAUUGAAAAGCACACUCAUUUACAGAGCUUGUUAGUGGGGAAAAGCUUCGUAAGAUGCCUGAUAAAAGAUAAAGCAAAAGCUUGAAUGAAGAAUGACAUUUUAGAAAGAAACUAAAGUGCAAUCAUCAAAGUAGGAUCAAUAGUGAGUUGAUCAGUUAUGCUUUUUGUUAUUUCAAUUGUCCUGUCCACAAAUGAUGCUUCGUUAUUACUAAUUCCACAUGGACAUUAUUUAGAAACUGUUCUUAUGUUUAACAGAAAAAUGAAAACUCGUCAUCAUACAAAACUGCGUGAACAAAUCUUCAAUUUGAUUAUUAUAAAAUAAAGAAGUUUCAUUACUAGAUUAUGCGGACGUUAAUGUUAGAGAUUUCAUCAGAUUAUCAUAUAAUUUACCAAACGCUUUGAGAAGAACAUGAAUUAAUUAGUUAAAAAUUUAAAAAUAAAAUAAAUAAAGAGUACAUGCAAAUAUUGUUGCUUCCAAUCACCAAAGUGAAAAACAGGGGAAUGAUAACAGACGAGUCCCUGAUUAUCCUCUCUCUCUCUUUUUUCAAUCUCUCUUUAUGUUAUGAUUGAAUAAUUGUAUAGAAAGUGUGACGGUUGCUGCAGCAUUAUGAAGUCAAAAUUGAGAACGACAUUAAAUAAUCAAUCUCUUUAUGUAUAUACUCGAAUGUCUGAUAGUGUUCAGACUUGGAUUUUCUAUAAACACAGAUUCGAAAUCCAAAUAAUUGAAUAAUUGUGUGCGUUCAAAUUCAGCAUUUAAUUUCUAUAUAAUUGGACAUAAAUGCGUAUUUUUUAUUUAGCCCAUUUCGGUCCAUGUUCAAAUAAACAUAUUUCUGUGGAUGAUAAUAUCAGGACCUCUGAUGCUUUUUUUUUUAUCAGAAAUUUUAUUUUUAACUCUUCGUUAUUUAGAUAUAAAUUUUUGCAGUCACCAAAUAGAAAAACAGGGGAAUGAAAACAGAAGAGCCGUGUCCUAAAUCAGGAGUAGGUGUUUUGCCUAAAAGUACCACUUUCCUAGCAAAUCUAGUGGGUUUACUGAAUAAAAUUUUUAAUUAUUCUGUUUGAUCUUUCUCUCUUUAUCCUAAGCAUUCUUGGUUGGGAUCGCUGCAUUGUCCUGUAAUCCGUGUGCCUUAGUGAAAAGAGUAAUGGGUAACUGUAGUUAUGGGUACUUGAGAGCUCACGAUGAGGGUAGCUUGGUAAUGGGACUAUCCAUAUCUGAGCAUCAGAGCUUGACAUCUUUGAUAAAUACAUAUGCUUACUGGUACUGUUUUUGCAUAUGUCUUUCACAAAAUCUUUGUAUAGGCUUACAUAGAGAAGAAGAUUCACCAAUAAAGUGUUGGCUCCACUGGCAAUGAAGUCCCUUAAGUGGCUUGACUGGGUUUGCUCCUCAGUUCUAGUCUGGGUUGUGGUACGGGCUUAAAGGUGCCUCCCACAGUUGGGGCCUUCCCCAGGAUACCUCGUGGUCAAAACAAAAAAAAAAUAGAGAAGAAGAUUCGGAUAACUUUCAAAAUCUGAAUCCGCCUGAUGGACGGACUUGACCACACAGCCCCGUGACAAGGAAGUCCAAGCAACUAACCUAAACCGUUCUCCUUUAGUCCUUUAUUAGGUUGUUCAAAAUGAAAUUAUACUGAGGAGCACCCCCCCCCCCCCCCAAAAAAAAGUUCUUUUAUAUAUUUUUCUUGGAAUUUUAGGCAAAAGAAAAAAAAACUGAGAACGAUUUCAAGCGAACAAGUGGAUAAUAACUAAAAUACUUAUUUUUAUAUAUUUGAUAUAUGCGCUCACUAUUAAUAGAACUUAUUAGAUACUACAACUUAAAUAACUUCCAGUGGUUGAUUGAGGGUAUGUUUGGGAUUUCCUUUACUUUCCAAGAAUUAAUUUCUACCUUGAUUCUGAACAAAAAAAUAAUUUUACAAAUAAUUUAUUAGGGUGUUUGGUAAAUGAUGAUUAUUUGACAAUCAAUUUUUAAAUGGUUUACUAUACAAAUCUGGUAAAUGAAAAUUAAAAGUGUAAAAUGUUCAUGUACAAUGACAAAAAUGUACUUGUUUACUUUUUUGUAAUUUAUUUAGAAUAUUAUUAUUUAAAUCUUUUUUAUUUACAACAUUUUUAAGAGCAUAUUCUAUUUUCUUUAUUACAUAUUUAAAUAAUUUUUUAUUAACUAUUUUAAUUUGCAAUAAAAUUAACUUGAAUAUUUUUUUAACUAAAAAAAUUGUUAUCUAGUUCGUGAUAUAACAAAUACUAACAUAUCAUCAAAUUGAUUAAUAAAUUAAGUGCAAAAAAGAAAAUGCAAAAAUUUAAUCUUUAUAGCUCAUAGAAAUAUAAUAUUAUAUACAUGUGUGUAAAAAACAACAUAUGACCAUAAUAUUAUCCACUCAUUAAACUUGCUGCACUAUUAUUUCUCAAUCUCUCCAUCUCUCGACCUUCAAGAACAUUACUACCAUAAUCUUCUUCUUGAAUUCAACCUCCAUUUCCUCAUCAUCAACAAUGCGACCAAUUUGCCUUGAUAGCCUUUCAACUCCUCCCACUUUCCUCCCUUUUGCAGACACUCUUUUUCUUUUUCUUUUUCUGUCUUUAAUAGCUUCAAUGGGAACAACCUCAUCUGACGACAAGUCCAUUCUUCAACUAGGACAGAGUUGGUAGUAGAUAUUCUAGUACUCUCAAACGAUGCCCAAACGGGGUCACCAGUGAUUGUUGUAUUAAAAGACAUUCUAUUUAAUUUUCCUCUGACUCUUGGUCGAUACCUUUUGUACAAAAUCUAUUUACUUCAGGAAUUUUAUACAUAUGUCGAUAUCAUAUUAAAGUGAAUUCAGAUCCUAUAUUAUUGACAUUAAAAUUUAGCCGAAUAGUAAAAAAUUUCCCUUUUUGUUUGUCACACAACUAUAUAGUCCCAUUUUUGGUUAUAAGCUCACGAUAUGCAAGGGAAAUGAAGAUCUAUUAAAAACUUCCCCAUAAUAUUAAACAUUAAACAAUAUCAACAUUUUGUGCAUAUGGUGCCUCGUCAACAAUUUGAUGUUCAUUUUGUUGCUCGGAGGAAUAUGACUACCUAUUAAUUAAUUAGCAAGAAUUGCGUUGCGAGUCCAUGUUUUUUGUCGUUUGGAUGGAGGAUGUGCUAUCUUUUUAUUGUAGAUGCUUUGUAAGGCUUUUGAUUUAAUGAUUGAAUGCAGUCAAUUAACAAAAGCUUACAUACAGUAUUAUGUAGUUGCUGAGAUGUCUAUUCUUGAUAAAGUCGAUUUAUUUACACCCAAGCCAACGGAAUCAAAGCCUUUUCGUUAAUAAUAUACACGGUAAUUGUUUUUGUUAAAUUGAUUUCUGGCUAACAAGAUCUUUGAAAGCAUUUAUUAAAGAAACCACUGACUCAUAAGAAAGCCAUGAUUAAAUACACAGCCAAGCAUGUGAGCUCGUUUUUCAAUCUCUUUGAUCACUCAUAAGCUUCUCUAUACCACUCACUGUAUCAUCCUUUUAAGUCAAUUUUGACUGAUCAUCAGAGAUCAUGCACCCCACCUUGAGAUGAUUGAUCACCAAUUUGGCAUUGUAACGUUGAUCACCUCUAAUUGGCCAUGCUAAAAUUGGGACCUCACAGCCAAUUGCUUCUACAGUUGAAUUUUAUCCACAGUGAGAUAAAAAUCCACCUAUUAAUUGAUAACUCAGUAUCAAUAAUUGUGGCACCAUUCCAUCUAUUAUCAAACCCUUUUUACCGACUCUACUAUCUAAACCACUACAAAAAUAAGCUGGUUAAAUGACGUGGAGGAUCCAAUCUAUUUACAUCAGUUUGAAUUACCUAAAUAAUCGGUGGAUUUGAUGCUUCUAAAUCAUUGGCUAAUGUUGAAUAAUCAUUUAAGGUGGGACCCAUUUCGGUACCAAAUGACAUGUAUAACACGGAUCCACAUGAUUUCAAAUCUAACCAUUGAAUGAUCUCAUCUUCGGUCAUGUUAGAACUUCGCCGGUUGGUUCUCAUCUCACAAUCACGAAGCACUGAACCAGCCGAUUUGUAAAAUUGUUCAGGUAACAAUUGGCCCACUCCCCACACUGGCAUCAACACCAUCGAUCCCUCCACUUGCUUCAUCCAGUGUGGUUGAUCACUCGGUUCUGAUGGGCCUAUUUAUUCUGAACCGGGUGCACCUCACAAAGGUUGUGGACCACCAGGAAGGGACCCGUGAGGCCUGCGUUUAAGAUCCGAUUCGAAUAAAGCAAUAUCCUUGGGUAACCCAAGAAGUAAACGGGCCUCUCCCGGUUUGACAUCCUGGAUGCGAGCCUGCCACAUGGCACACUCCACAGCUGCUGAGCAAGCAUCAGAAGUGAAGAACCCAACAAUGGGAACUUCAAAAUUCUUGAAAACAUCAGCCGUCCAGCCCAUCAUAACGCCGAUGACUACGCAAACAGGUCGGCUUUCGGGUUCCGGGUUGAAAGGAGGUUUCGAAGGCCUUGAAGCAUUUGGCUGUGCAUGACAACAUGGUGGUGAGAAGGAGGUGAUGGUAGUGGUUGAGAUGGGGAGGGUAUUUCGGUAAUUUCAAAUAGAGCGUAUUGGUGAAGAGAGGAAGGGGUGAUGCUGGUGGUAGAAACGUGAGAGGGAAUAAUGAGGGUAGAUUUGUAACAACGAGAAGUGAUUUGCUUGCAUAAUUCAAUGCAUGGAAACAGAUGUCCCUGACCGAAGAAUGGGACAAUCCAAAUCUCAGCCUCAGCAGCAUUCGCAACAGAGCUUGACAUCUUUUAUGAAUUAUUUGAGACUUAAUUGUUAUUGACUGCUUUUGCCAUCUUUCAUAAAACAUUCUUUGUUAUAUAUAAAGAGAUGACUUGAUGGAGAAGCAAGUGUUUUACUUUUAUAGUUUUACUAGUAGUUGAGCUCUGAUUUUGAUAAUUUGAUUGUUAGUUUUAGUUGGUUAGUUAUGAGAAAGCAUCUUUCACAAAAUUCAUUCCAGUUUCAACUAAAAUUAACAAUACUGUUCAAAUUAAUUACUGGAUCAACAAAUAGUCAUAGGCAAAUCUAUCCCUAGCGCUAGAUCUUGAACAUAAUUAUUAUCAUAAUCUCCCCUUCCCCCACCCCCCACCCCCAAAAAAAAAUUUACUAAAUAUCUUUUGUUAUAUAAUGAACAAGAUAAGUUGACGGAGAAGGGUUCUACUUUUACUAGUAAAUGAGCUUUGAGUAGUUAAGAAGGUUAGUUUUAGUUAGUUAAAUAUCUACCAUCCGAAUCAAAGUUCCUUAGACUAUUAUUCAAGUGAGAUGCUUGAGUAACAUAUACUUGUGUUAGUUGGUGCCUAACAAUUCGUGUGAUACAUGAAACCAACCACUAUGAAAUCCAAAUGAAGCUGGUAGGAUUAGAUUAAUUUAAAUGAAAAUAAAAAUUUGUUUAUGCUAUUUAUUAAUCUUAUAAUGUUGAAACUUGAAAGUUAAUUCUUCAACCUGUCAAUUGGUUCAUGACAUGGUUUAAUAUUCAAGUAAAUAAAUUUAUCGUUUAAAAUUAAUUUUUCAUGUGGUAAAAGCAAUACAAAAUAUGGGGUGGAGAGAAUAAUUUGUAGGGUAUACCCCCACCAUUUAUUUAAUUUCAUUAAAAAAAAAGAAAAGAAAUAAAGGCUUGUUCAACAUUCAAUUAAAAUUAACAAUUCCAUGAUAAAAUUACUUGAGAAUAAAAAUUAAAAAAAAAAAAGUAACACAAAAACGAGGAAUUUUUGAGUAACUGAAGAACCAUAGAUGUUUUUUGGUCAUGAGCAAUUUUUGAGUUGAGACAGAACUUGUAUAAAAAAAUAGUUUUGAAUAACUUCUUUUCUUUUUUCAUAAAUAUAGAUAUAAAAUUUUAAAGUCACCAAACACAAAACCAGGAAAAUGGAAAGGAAGCCCCUGUUUCUCCUCUGUUGCAAGAACAAAUUCGGUUUCUACAGGAGUACCUUCUAAAUGCACCAUUUGUAUUGCUUUGUUUCCACGUAAGCUAACGGAAUUUUUAAUGAAAUUAAAUAAAUACAAUCUCACUGACCGAAAAGUUCUGUAGCUGUUUCAAUUCAAUUGCAUACAUUGACGAAACAUUAAAUACGGAAAAAACAAAAAAGAAGUAAUAGGACAUGGGGAUUUCGAGAACUUCUAAAGAGAGAAAUCUAUUUAUAAGCAUUGAAAAUUAGCUCAUUAAAUUUGACAGAAUAAUAUACAAUCUCACUGUUGGCCAGAAAAUAAUAGUAAGAACUUGUGAACAUAUAUAAUCAAUUGUUUAUUACUUAAGCUCUUUUUCUUCGUUAUUUUGAAUGGGUGCAAAGAAGAGAAGUUUUGUACCCAAAUUCCAACUCGAAUUGUGUAGGCUGCUUGCAAGAGCUUCAUUAGAUUUUUAUUUGUCUUUUAAUAGUGCUACUCGAUAAAUACAGCUAGCUACCUGUCUUUUUUGUUACUGGACUAUAGAUCAAUUGACAGUUGAAGUUAUAUUAAUUUGUUGUACUGGAAUUGAAGCUUGUAUCUUAGCCAUUUCGUGAAGUGUCAAAUAUAUUUUUAAUUUCCUUAAAAUUGUUCAAAAUAUGUUUACACUUUUAAAGUCACUAUUAUACAUGAGUGCCCUAAAAUAGGAGAAGGCGAUUUGCCUGACAUUACCUGUUUCCUGUCAAAUCUAGCAGGUUUACUGAUUAGAUUUUAACAAGUCUCUUGGCAAAGUUUGCUAGAAAUGGAAUCAAAUUAUUCUAUUUAAUCUUACUGUCCAUACCCUAAUAGUUCUUGAUUUGCAUCACUGCAUCGUUCUAUAAUCUGUGUGCGUUGGCUUAUAAAGGCUAGCAAGGCUGACCAUUCGUAGCAUAGUUUUUUUUUUUUUUUUUUUCCACAAUGAAACUCCUAUUGAUUUGACUCAGUAUUUAGAGGCGUUAACGAGGGCACUAUACUAGACAUGGAUUUCUACCGCUUUUGGUUGUACAAUUGUUGUAAUCCUUGGCCAUCAAAUCAUUUUUACGUAGCUUUCUCAGAGUUCAUGCCAAGUGUACAUUAAUGUUUUUAUGUUUUGGAUGCAAGUGGGAUUCUAGUUCUCUAUGGCAGUUGAAGAGGUAAAUGGGCAUGGAGCUAUGCUCUAUCAUAGGCUUCGGCCGCUACAAGAAAUUUGAUUUCUUAAGACGAUAUUUUUUACAACUUUAAAUUUGGUCACAAAAUUGUAUUUAUUGUGACAAAUUUUUAAAAUCGUAGUUAAUAAUCUUGUCGUAACUUAUAUUGUUUUUUGUAACCAAUUGUUUUUAUUUUGAGACUUGUUCAUUGGUCAUUAAUUAAAUUUUUUUAUGACAAAAAUUAUUUUAGUCACCAAAAGAUAUAUUUUUUUGGCGCAAAAUCUUCCCUCCAAAAGUGAUUAUUUUGAGACAAUAUUUCACUAUUUAUGACAAAAUAAAUAGUCACGAAAUAUAAUGAUAGGCGACCAAAUUAUUUGGUAACUAAAAGAAGGGUGUAAAAUUGACUAAACAAUCUAUGACACAAAAUAUUAGUAGCCAAAAUUAUUGUUCUUUUGGCUAAUUUUAAGACCAUUUUUUUUUGUCAUAUAUAAUUACCUACCAUGACAAAAUUUAAAAAUAGUUGUUGAAUGUUUUGUCUUGAAUAAUUUUAUAUUUGAUAACCAAUUUUUUUUUUUCUUUUUGAGACAUAUUACUUGGUCCCUAUUUCAACUUCUUUUUGACGAACUUUAUAAUAGUCACAAAAGACUUUUUUUAUUUUUGGCAUAAAAAGUCUGUCCAAAGUUAGCUCUUUUGGGACAAUAUAUAAUCUUUUAUGACAAAAUAUAUAGUGGCGAAAUAUAAUUAUUUUUUACAAAGUUAUUUCGUAACUGAAAAAGAGGUGUAAAUAUAGUUAACCUAUUUGUGACAUAAAAUAUUAGUCUCCAAAACUAUUAUGUUUUUAGCCAAUUUUAAGACCCUAUUUUGUUGUCAUGGAUAAUUACCUAUUUUCAAAAAACUAAGAGAUAGCAAUCAAAAGUUUGUCUUGAUUGACAUUGUAUUUUAUGAGCAAAAUAUUUUGUUUCAGUGACACUUUACUUGGUCUUUGAUUAGACUUGUUUGUGAUGAUCAAUAGAAUUAUAUAAUAACCACUAAAUUUUUUUGGGUUAAAUUUUUAUAGAUACUAUUAAUUAAGUUGUUGACGAAAAUGAUCGAACUAAUACUAAUAUGGGAUACCAUCAAUAGCCGUAAUACUUAUGAAGCGAGAAAUUAUAAUAUGUAGUGAUUUAUUUAGAAUUAUUUUGACUACUUUAUUGAUUUCCAAAACAUAAAAUUCUCAACCCAAAAUUCCCCGCAUUGUGUUUUAUUUUGUCUCCUCACUCAGUUACUCUUUUAGCUAAAGUUGCUUUGGAAAAGUUGGAAUCUUUUGUUUGGGUGGAAAAUUUCCCACCAGAGAUUAGACAUGUAUUCACCUAGUUGAAGUAAUGAAAGUUUUACUUUCCCAUAAAAAAAAAAACUCACGGCUUGACAAAAAAAAGGAAAAAAAUUCUCACAGCUUGAUGGUCUCCUCUCUUUAAAAAUAAAAAUCCCUAGUUACUCUGCUCAAACUCGUUAAUAUUUGUUUCCACCACCUAAGCAGCCACUAGUAUCUUUUUUUUUCGCAAUUCACUUUUGCUGUGUUUCGUGGUUUGGAUGGAGAUCAUGACAAUAAUUGAACGAUGGUGAUAAAUAUCAAAGAAGGAGCUUACAUGCCCUAUAUAUCUCUCUUUGGAUGAAUAACGAAGGUGAACUUUCAAAGUACAGAGAUUUACAUGUUUUAAUUGUCAUUUACAUUGCUGCAUGCCCAUUGCUUGAUAAAAUACCGCAACAAACACGCAUUCUCGAUUUUCUCAUAAAUUUAUUUUCUUAGUCUGAAAAAAAAAUUGAAUGUUCAGAGAAUUUUGAAGGUUUUGGUGUAUGCAUUAAUAUUUUGAUUCUAUUUAUGUUGUUUAACUAAUGAAGAUGAUACAUCUAGCCUCUUUUUGCCCCUUGUUGUUUUUAUUCUUGUGCUUUAUAUACGGUUCAAGUGUGAUACACUUUAGUUUUUCUCAAGUGUUUGUUAGUAUUUCCCCAAGCAAAAUUUGUCACAGACUUUGAGUUCAAAAGUUGAAAUCAUAACUAACAUACUUCGAUUUUUUAUUUUCCUUUUUUCUUCGGGGUCCCAUAUAUCUUUCUAUAUGGCAUUGCUUGAGAAAUUGGUGUACUUAGAUCGUAAUAUUCUGUAGAAAUAAGCUAAUAUUUCAUUAGGUACAUUGUUUAAUAUGAUAAGUACUGUAUGGAAGUUUUACAGAUAAGCUCCUUGUAUAUUAUGCAUUAUGUUUUUAUCAUAUUGUUGCUUGGAACUUUGAAGGAUUGGCCACAGGGCUUUAGUCCUACAAGGACAUUUUAUAUUGGGAAAUUAUCAUUCGUAUACCCUAUAGAUGCUCUGUUAUAAAAAAUACUACAACACUUUGAGGGUGUAUCAAUCGUCCACAUUAAGUUGACAAAAUGUAUCUGUUGUCCACCAAACCGUUACUUGCCGUUUAAAUAGGAUAACGACAGAGGGGUAAUUUGGUCUUUUCAUAUGAUACAAGUGAUAAUUUAAGGGUAUACAAGUGAUACUUUUCAAGGGUAAAAUUGUCAAUUCGCUAUAAUUCCGUUAACUUUCAAACGGUAGCUAACGGUUUGAUGGUUGGUAGAUAGCUUUUGUCAAUUUGGGGUGGACGAUUGAUACACCCUCAAAGUGUUGAAGAACUUUUUAUAACAGAGCUUCCUACANNNNNNNNNNNNNNNNNNNNNNNNNNNNNNNNNNNNNNNNNNNNNNNNNNNNNNNNNNNNNNNNNNNNNNNNNNNNNNNNNNNNNNNNNNNNNNNNNNNNNNNNNNNNNNNNNNNNNNNNNNNNNNNNNNNNNNNNNNNNNNNNNNNNNNNNNNNNNNNNNNNNNNNNNNNNNNNNNNNNNNNNNNNNNNNNNNNNNNNNNNNNNNNNNNNNNNNNNNNNNNNNNNNNNNNNNNNNNNNNNNNNNNNNNNNNNNNNNNNNNNNNNNNNNNNNNNNNNNNNNNNNNNNNNNNNNNNNNNNNNNNNNNNNNNNNNNNNNNNNNNNNNNNNNNNNNNNNNNNNNNNNNNNNNNNNNNNNNNNNNNNNNNNNNNNNNNNNNNNNNNNNNNNNNNNNNNNNNNNNNNNNNNNNNNNNNNNNNNNNNNNNNNNNNNNNNNNNNNNNNNNNNNNNNNNNNNNNNNNNNNNNNNNNNNNNNNNNNNNNNNNNNNNNNNNNNNNNNNNNNNNNNNNNNNNNNNNNNNNNNNNNNNNNNNNNNNNNNNNNNNNNNNNNNNNNNNNNNNNNNNNNNNNNNNNNNNNNNNNNNNNNNNNNNNNNNNNNNNNNNNNNNNNNNNNNNNNNNNNNNNNNNNNNNNNNNNNNNNNNNNNNNNNNNNNNNNNNNNNNNNNNNNNNNNNNNNNNNNNNNNNNNNNNNNNNNNNNNNNNNNNNNNNNNNNNNNNNNNNNNNNNNNNNNNNNNNNNNNNNNNNNNNNNNNNNNNNNNNNNNNNNNNNNNNNNNNNNNNNNNNNNNNNNNNNNNNNNNNNNNNNNNNNNNNNNNNNNNNNNNNNNNNNNNNNNNNNNNNNNNNNNNNNNNNNNNNNNNNNNNNNNNNNNNNNNNNNNNNNNNNNNNNNNNNNNNNNNNNNNNNNNNNNNNNNNNNNNNNNNNNNNNNNNNNNNNNNNNNNNNNNNNNNNNNNNNNNNNNNNNNNNNNNNNNNNNNNNNNNNNNNNNNNNNNNNNNNNNNNNNNNNNNNNNNNNNNNNNNNNNNNNNNNNNNNNNNNNNNNNNNNNNNNNNNNNNNNNNNNNNNNNNNNNNNNNNNNNNNNNNNNNNNNNNNNNNNNNNNNNNNNNNNNNNNNNNNNNNNNNNNNNNNNNNNNNNNNNNNNNNNNNNNNNNNNNNNNNNNNNNNNNNNNNNNNNNNNNNNNNNNNGAGGAUGAAAUUUGCAAAAACCUUGUUCAUAGCUAUGGUAAUUAAGCAAAUUGAGUCUUCUUUUUUUGUUGUUUUUUAUUCACUUUUUCCUGUCCUUAAAACAAAUAAUGAGUUUUCUUGUUUUUAAUAUUUCUUAUAAACUUUAUGUUGUUUGGUAUAAAAUUAGGUAAUUGGAAAGGUCUCAUGUUGGAUGAAAUUAUCAAUUAUGUGCAGUCCCUACAGAAUCAAGUGGAGGUAACAUUGCUACUAAAAAACCUUAUUAACAUAGUUAUAAUGAAUUAAUCUUCUUUAAUAUAUUGCAAUAUUUUUUACUAUUUCUAGGUCUUUCUAUGUUGGUUUUGGAUCAUUGUAGUUGCUGAUUGUGAUUUAUUGCCGCCUAUGGUUGCUGACUUUUGUUUACUGCAGCUACUUUAUUAAAGCAAUUUUGGAUAUUGAAGUUUAUGGCCAACUUUUAUUAGAUACUUCUGACCUUUAUCGAUAUAUUUUCUGAACCUUUACACUUAAGAUGUGUGUGUGUUUUUUUUAAGUAAUUUAAUCCUUACUAACAUUUUCUAACAAAAUCAAUUACAGAAAUGAUUAGGAAAAAACAAGCAAAAUCAUUGUAAAGUGUCUUCUGCGCACCGUGGUUGCUCAAGUCUCAUGUGCAACAUGUGAAUGAAAUAGUACUUGAAAUAAUAGAGACUUUGUUUUAUGACUCUUAUAUUUACAUUUCUUUGCAAGGAACCAUACUUAAUUGUACCUAAUAGAAGAGAUAUCUUUUCACUAUAUAGUCUUAGUAUAAAAAGAUACCUCUUCUAUAAGGCACAAUUAACGGGACAUGUCUUUAUACUAAGACAUCAUUCAUAUUUAUCACACAAUAAUAGAAACUGCAACGGUAGCUGGAAUAUUAUGAAGUCAAAAUUGAGAACGACAUUAAAUCAUGAAUUCUUUAUGUGUUUACUCUAAUGCCUGACGGUAUUUAGUUCAAUUAACACAGAUUCGAAAUCCAAAUGAUUGAAGAGUUGUAUGGGUUCAAGUUCAGUAUUUAAUUACUAUAUAAUUAUACAUAAAUGUGGAUUUUGCAAUCUUGAACCCAUUUAAUUACUAAAAAAGGAUGACGAAUAGAAUUGGUGGAAAUUGACCACAAUCAUCUCUCUCUCUCGGCUUGCUCAAAUUUGGCCGAUCUGUGCGCUUGCUUAAGCUUGGCCGAUCUAUGCUUGCUCGAUUACUCUUCCUAUAUUCAGUCAGAGUCAACUGUUUGACAAGAGUCGAAGUCCAAGGUUCUUUUUUACAGGAUUUGAGCUACUUCUUUUAUUCUUCUUGCAUGUUCACUGAUAGCGGGUGGAAUUUGAGAUGUUCACUGAAGCUUUGAUGUGGUGUUCUGAUAGCGGGUGGAAUUUGAGAUUCUCCUUUCUUCUCUAUAUGAAGGUGCUUGUCAUGUGUCAAGAAAAAUAAAAUUAUUUACAAAAGAUUAUUUUAAGGAGAUUUAUUAUUAUUCGUGGAUCAGGAAGCUCAAAAAGUUUUCUUAUGUAGAACAUAAAAUGAUUUAAAUUUUGCCAUGGUAUAUCCUUUUCUUUGAUUGUGUUGUGGUUUUCCAGUUCUUGGAGAUGCAGAAGAAGUUUAUUUUGUUUUAUGGUAUCUUAUUUAUUUAUUGUUUUCACGAGGAAAUAGCUGUGCUUUUGGAAAUUAAUAUGCUGUGUUGUAAAUGUUGUGUGAAAUCCUUUUAUUGGUGUCUAUGUAAAGUGUUUCAGAUUUCAGACCUGAGAGUUAAUCUUCGCGUACCAGUUGGCUUUUGGGUUUAGUAUUGCUGCUUUUAACAUAAUUGACCUAUGGCCCAAAUCAUUUCUUAGGGCGAAGCAUAUGAAUGAUACAUAUUAUCUUUUUUUGGCCUUAUGUAUUGUUAUUUGCAGUGUGAUUUGGUCUAGCUUAAGAGCUUAAGCUUGCAAGUUGGAUUUGUCUAACAGGGAACAAUUUAAUUUGUUCAUCAUGAUGUUUAUAUCCAUUUUGUACUACUAUCAAUUUCAAUCAUGCCUAAUUUUUAUAUGUAUUUCUUGUGGACUCUCAGGUUCAGUGCACAAGAGGAUGAAGACGAUGGACACCCAAAUUUGAUGUGGAGAAUAAGUAUUGCAAAUGGUCCUUGAUUUACUUCUCCAAUUGACUUGAAUUGGUUUGACGCAAUUUAUAGUGUAUUUUUGUCAUCUUUGUAUGACUGGCAGGUCGUCCUGAUUUGGUACAUGACUGGACUCAGGAAUUGGACUCAUAUUUUUCAAACCAGAAUGCCAACAAUCAAGCAUUUUCUUUUGAAAGCACUGGCGUCUUCUUCAAUGCCAAAAAGGUUAGAGAUUUUUUGUAUCCUGUUUUGUAUUUGAUCAGUUUAGCAUGUGGGUGGCAAUCAAGAAAAGUUAUUCUAACAUUUUUGUGUUCCCGAAAAACUGCUGAUGAUGUGUAGUGCAGGAAAUGAAUUGUUUGUGACUUCUUUUUAUUCGUAUUCUUUCUUUUUUCUUUUCUCCCCAACAGGAUUAUGUAUUUCUGAAGAGCUUCUUGAAGUUGAUUACCUUGUAAGCCACUUUCUGUACUCUAUGCUCAGGAUGUGAUUUUGCCAAGCAUUAAAAUGGUUUAGGUCAGAACCAUCAUCUAAAGUUUACUUAAUGCAGCCGAGAAGCUGUAGUAGAGCAAUGAAGGCUGUUGGUGUUAUGAAGGCCAGCUGUGAAGAAAUAUUUGAACUUGUAAUGAGCAUGGAUGGGACACGAUACGAGUAUGCUUCUUUUCUAUUUUUUAAUUUUAGUUAUUUUAACAUAAUCAAGACUAUAUUGGCUGUCUCUGUAAGCUGAGUAUUAUAUUUCCUCUUGUAUGCUGUGAAAUUCACAUUGUCUCCAGUCCCGAUUCUGUAUGUGCCUUUUUGAAUAUAUUUAAUUAAUCUGCAUGGUGCUUUCUAAAGAUUAUUACAAACUUUUGUUGCUUAAGUAUAUGAAGAAUGUGGAAAUGAAAAUAGCUUUUGAAGUUUGAUGGAUUGCUUCAUUAAUAAAGAAAGACUGGGACUCAUUUUUAUAACUUUUCUCCACUUAGCUAAUGGUAUUUGAUGAAGACAAAAUAGAUGUAGCUAUCUGUAUUUUUUGUUGCUGAACUAUAGAUCAAUUGACGGUUGAAGUUAGUUAUAUUAAUUUGUUGUACUAGAAUUAAAGCUUGUAUCUUAGCCAUUUCAUGAAGUGUCAAAGACGUUCAUGUUUUUUAAAAAAAACAUGUUACACUUUUGAAGUCACUAUUACAUAAAAGAGUGUUCUAAAACAGGAGAAGGCGUGCUGCCUGAAAUUACCUGUUUCCGAUUUUAACAAGUCUCUUGGCAAGGUUUGCUAGUAAUGUGUUCAAAUUAUUCUAUUUAAUUUUACUGUCUGUACCCUAAUAAUUCUUGGUUUGCACCAUUGCAUUGUUCCAUAAUCUCUGUGCGUUGGCUUAUAAAGGCCAGCAAGGCUGAUCAUUUGUCAAAUAGUUAUUUCCAUGAAAUUCCUAUCAAUUUGACUCAGUAUUUAGAGGUCUUGAAGAGGGCAGUGUACUAGACGUGGAUUUCUUCCUCUUUUGGUUGUACAAUUGUUGUAUUUCUUGGCCAUCAGAUCUUUUUUAUGUAUCUUUCUCAAAGUUCAUGCCGCACGUACACCGUUUUUCAUGUUUUGUGCAGGUGGGAUUGUAGUCUUUUGUAUCGCAGCUUAGUUGAAGAGGUAGAUGGUCAUACGGCUAUUCUCUAUCAUAGGCUUCAGCUGGACUGGUUUCCAAUGUAAUAGUCUCUUGAUUCAAUCAUCUCAUUUAUGCUUUGGUCAGAAUAGAACAUUUAUUGUUUUCUUCUUUCCCCUUUCAUGUCUUCUGAUAUAAUAUGUGAGGAAAUUACCUAAAAUUUCUGUAUCCCAAUGUAAUUGUUGGAAUUCAGAAAUAAAAUAAAUACACCGUCUUGUUUUUCCCUCGGUUCAGUCCUAAGUUCUCUUUGGGCCUUCUGCAAGUUUUUAAACAUACUGUGACAGUAAAAAAUCUAGUGAUUGAGAUCAUUUUGAUGAAUUUAAUUUUAAUUCUUAGCUGAUACUUUUUCUGGAAUUUUUUUUCUUAUGUUUCCUCAAUAUGACUUAAAUAUAGGGCUUAGUUUGGUUUAGAAGUUCGUCUAAAACCUUCUCCUUGAUUCCAAAAAAAUUCUCUAGAAAGGUCUCAGAUGGAUUUUAGGGGAGUUCUGUGGCAAAUUUGAAAAGUUCAGGGGAAGGGUCUAAUGAAUUUUAAAACCACAUGGGUUAUCUGUUUUAUUCAGAGGAUAGUGGAAUUCCCUGAAAUUUAUCAUUUUUAUUUAAAUAAUCUUCCUACUUUCCUCUGCGGAAUUUAUUUACAUUUAUGAAUUCAUUUGGUUGCAGGUUUGUUUGGCCCCGCGGCCUUUGUUAAGUACGUUAUUGGCGUUGAAAUGACGCUGCGAGUUAUGGUAAGGUUCUUGCUUCCCCACUUCUUGAAAUUAAAUCUAUCUUUUCUGGCACUAGAAGUUUCCAUAAGCUGUGUUUUGUUAUCGCGCAGUUGUGUUAUUUCAUUCUAGGGAGCAUGAGAACUGUGGUCCACAGCCAGGAUAUGUACGAGCUCACGUGGAGAGUUAGUUUUCUGUCCUUUACUUUGGUUGAUGUAGAGAAUUAACAAGUGACUAAGUCAUGCCAAGUUGCACCACUUGCUUCCUGUAUUCUGAUUUCUCAGGUGGUGGAUUCAACAUUUCCCCACUCAAACCUCAAAAUGGUAGGCCCAGAACACAAGUACAGCAUCUUAUGCAGAUUGAUCUAAAAGGGUGGGGUGUUGGUUAUGUGUCAAUGUUUAGCAACACUGUCUUCUUCAGAUGUUAAAUAGCAUUGCUGGUAAGUUUCUUGCUUUCACAUUUUAUUUUGCGCUGUUAUGGGUUAAUAUGUUUCUGUUGGGUGGCCAUUUUAAGUCAUAUUUUUACGUGUUACUGUAUUUUCUUCAGUCCUUUUAUAGGGAACACACACAUACACGUAUGUAGAGUCACCUUUUAAUGAGGGAUCUACCAUUUUAAUAAAAUGAGGAAUGAGCUAAAAGAUAAAAAUUCACGAACUCCAAUGCAAUAUGUGUGUGUGCGUGUGCACACCUUUUCUAACUCUUGUUCUUAGUUAGAUAUUUUUCGGGAUUUCAGGCAAAUGAAAAAAGAGAUUAAGAGAAAGAGAAUAGGUGGAUGAUAACUUAAAUAUUCAUUUUUAUAUAUUUUGUUAAUGUCCUCUUUAAUGGAUUUCUAUGGAAUUAAUCUUUUUUUUUCAAUUAGUUGCAGCCCUAGAGGAAAAGUAGGGUGAUCAAAUUGAUUUAUCUCAUUUUUUUUUAGCAAUUUGCGACAUAAUGACCGUGAUAAUGCUUGUGACUGCUGGAAACUUUCUGAUGGAAAUAACUUCAGAGUUCGUAGCAAGCAUUUUUGUUAUGACAAAACAAAGGUUCCCGCGAAUUUUGGUUGUUGUUAGGCCACAAGUGCGUUUCACAUAUGCAAGGCGCAAGGGUAAUUCCGGAAAUACCAAUCGUGGCUGACGUGUCAUCAAGUAGUAUAGAGAGAAGAGUUUGUUAUGCAUUUCUGUUAGUGAUAAGUUGAUGGUAUUCUGUUUUGAUAAUUUGUUAGAGUUUUCUAUUAUUCUAUUUGGGCGUAAAAGUGAGGAGGUUAUAUGGAGAGGAGCUGUUUUUUGGGAAGGGGAUCUAGAGAAUUAUUUUGUAGUGAGCUUGCUCAUUUUGGGAGAGAUACCAAGCCUCUCGAAUGCUUGGGUGUUUUGGUUUAUUUCUGCAGAUAAAUACCAGUUUUCCUACUUCCAACAACAUUCUGUUCUCUACUGUGUUGUUUAUCUAACCAUUUCAGUUCAGGGCUUAUCAAAUUGGUAUCAGAGUAGUCACGUACCUAGAAAAUGACUGGCAAAAAUGUUGCUCAACGAAUGGAUUCCAUAGAGGAGGCGAUGGGUGCUGCGUAGGAGGAGUUUCAACGGGAAAUGAGAUCGUUGAAGGAUGAAAUAUAGAUGAUGAACAAACGAUUCGAACAGUUCAUCAAACUUCAAGAGGAUACGGGAGGUUCGUAUUCGAAUAAAAGGGAAAAGAUGCUCAGCCCCAACUUCGGCGGGUUGAGCUCAAGCGGAACUAGCCAUGAUUUCCGAUUCCGGAAACUUGAGAUGCCACUGUUCGAUGGCUCAAAUCUGGAUGGCUGGAUCUGAAGGCUGAACGAUAUUUUUCCGUAAAUCGGUUAUCCAAUGAAGAAAAACUUGAGGCAGCGAUAAUAGCUUUCGAGGGAGAUGCCCUGUUGUGGUAUCAAUGGGAGAAUAGGAAGAGAUCCAUGAUGGUUUGGGAAGAGAUGAGGCUACUAAUCUUGAAACAAUUCCGAGUAAUCCAAGCCGAUUCUCUCCAUGAACAAUGGCUAGCCCUUACUCAAGAUAGCAGUGUGCGAGAAUACCGCCGGAAAUUCAUCGAACUUUCGGCGCCGUUGGAGAACAUUACAGACGAACUAGCUCUGGGAAAUUUUAUCAAUGGGUUGAAGCCUGAAAUUCGGGUCGAGGUUCGGAUCAUGGAACCCAGUAAUUUGGGCCGGGCCAUGGACUUAGCCCAAAAGAUUGAGGAGAAACUGUGGGUGACCAAGGCCCACAAAGCAGACGGUGGGUUUCAUCGAGCAGGAGGGUCAACGCGAGGUGUGAACUUCCAUUCUGAAGCUUCGCAAUCUUCGUUUGGGGCAAAUCAUAACACGGCCCGAUUUUCGGGAGAGGUUAGGAGGUUGUCCGAUUCAGAAUUACAGAAGAAAGAGAGAAGGGACUAUGUUAUCGAUGUGAUGAAAAGUGGGCACCUGGGCAUCGCUGCAAGAAGAAAGAAUUGACUGUCCUUCUCACCUACGACAUGGACGAAGCAGAGCAGGAAGAGGAAGAAGGUUCGGGUGAAGGCGAUCCCGAACUGGAAACGGCCGAAAUUAAUCAAGGGAUAGAGGUCUCUCUUAACUCGGUGGUUGGUCUGACUACACCAAAGACGAUGAAGCUUAAGGCGUCUAUCGGGGAGCAAGAGGUGGUGGUACUGAUUGAUUCAGGUGCAACCCACAAUUUUAUUUCUCUAGAUUUGGUUAGUAAGAUGCAGAUACCCAUUGUUAAAACUGAGGCUUAUGGGGUGACUAUGGGUACUGGAGCGGCUGUAAGGGGAUAAGGUUUAUGUCGGGGAGUGACUAUUCAUCUACAGGGAAUAGAUAUUGUAGAGGAAUUCUUGCUGCUUGGGUUGGGGAGCUCGGAUGCUAUAUUAGGAGUUCAGUGGCUUGAAACUUUGGGGAUGACACACACAAAUUGGAAGACACAAGUGAUGAAGUUCAUGCUCGGAAAUGAAUCUGUUACUCUACGAGGGGAUCCUUCCCUUGGCAAGACUUUGGUUUCAUUGAAGGCAAUGAUGCGCACCAUUAAGCACGAGGGAGCUGGAAUUCUGGUGGAAUGUAAUCAAUUUGAAGGUCUGUGCGAAGUGAGCCCUGAGGUGCCACCGAAUCUAAACCAAGUCCUAGCAGAAUAUGAAUUGGUUUUUAACAUGCCCAUGGGCUUACCACCUACUAGGGGACAUGAGCAUUCCACUUUGCUCAAAGACGGCAGUCAACCUGUUAGUGUCCGACCAUACCGCUAUCCUCAUGCCCAGAAGGAUGAGAUUGAAAGACUGAUUCAGGAGAUGUUAGAUGCGGGAAUAAUCCAAGUCAGCAAUAGUCCAUUCUCGAGCCCAGUUUUGUUGGUUAAAAAGAAAGACAGAUCAUGGCGUUUUUGUGUGGAUUACAGGGCUCUCAACAAAACGACGGUACCAGAUAAGUAUCUCAUCCCUGUCAUUGAUGAACUCCUAGAUGAGUUACAUGGUGCCAGAAUUUUUUUCCAAGCUAGAUUUAAAUUUGGGCUACCAUCAAAUCAGAGUCAGUAGUCAGGAUGUUCAUAAGACUGCUUUUCGAACGCAUGAUGGACACUACAAGUUUCUCGUCAUGCCUUUUGGACUAACGAAUGCCCCGUCGACUUUCCAAUCCUUGAUGAAUGAUGUCUUCUGGCCUUAUCUUCGGAAGUUUGUUCUAGUGUUCUUUGAUGACAUUCUAAUUUACAGCCCUUCAGUGGAAUCCCAUCAGCAGCACUUGGCUCUCGUCUUGGGAAUAUUGCAGGCCAACAGCCUUUAUGCCAACCGAAAAAAAUGCGAGUUUGGAAGAACUCAAGUGGCAUAUUUAGGCCAUAUCAUCUCUGGACAAGGGGUGGCAGCGGAUCCAAGUAAAAUCCAAGCCAUUAACUUGUGGCCAACGCCCACUAAUCUGAAAGCGUUAAGGGGAUUUCUGGGAUUGACGGGGUAUUAUAGAAAGUUUGUGGCUGGGUAUGCUAGAAUCGCAUCGCCAUUGACUGAUCAGCUCAAGAAAGAUAGGUUUGGGUGGAGUCCAGAAGCUGCAGCGGCAUUUGAAGAACUCAAACAAGCUAUGUCUUCAGUCCCUGUGUUGGCAAUGCCUGAUUUCACAAAGCCAUUUAUUGUUGAGAAUGAUGCAUCUGGUUUUGGGUUAGGAGUUGUUCUACUACAGGGGCAACAACCAGUAGCUUACUACAGCCAAGUUUUGGGGCCCCGGGCUCGUCUUAAGUCCAUAUAUGAGAAAGAACUAAUGGCCAUAGUGUUUGCAAUCCUGAAAUGGCGGUCGUACUUGCUGGGAAGGCGAUUUAUUGUGCGAACAGACCAACAGAGCUUAAAAUUUCUUUUGAAGCAGAGGAUUGUUGGAGUUGAAUAUCAAAAAUGGAUCACCAAAAUCAUGGGAUAUGAUUUUGAUAUUCAAUAUCGUAUUGGGGCUGUUAACAUAUAUGUUUCCAUAAUAUUGAUUUUGAUGAUAACAAAAAAGAUUAAAAAUGAUUAAUCUUUUAAGCUCAAAUUAUUUUUUAUACAUUUUAAAUAAAUCAUUAUUUUUAUAUUAUAAAGGUUUUAUAUUUAAUGGAAAAAUGAUUUUAUGAAAUUGGUUGUUUUUCAAGUUUAUGAUUUAAUUGAAAGAGUUUUUGAAAACUUUGAAAUCAACAAGUAUUGCUUGAAAUUUUAGAGAAUGACUUAUUUUAAAAGUGUCAUAGCAUUUUGGGCUAUAUCAUAAUUUCAGAAAGUUUUGGGAUUAACAAAGCAUUACUUAGAAAUUCUGAAAUUGGACCUAUUUGUAAACUUUCAUAACAUUUUGGGCCAUACUGUAGUUUUAUAAAGUUUUGGGGUCAAACUAUAAUUUUAAAAAAUAGUGCACUGUGCAGGUUACUGUACCAAUCACUGUAGCAAAUGGCUAACCGUUUAUUUAAAAACGGCUAACCGAUAAUUUCCAGAAAGCAUGUUCUGCAAAGUAUUGUUAAAAUGAUGAUUCUGGAAACUAACGGUGAACCGUUUACUGAAAACGGUUAACCGAUUAUUUCCAGAUUGUUAACCUUGAACCGUUUAGUAAGAACGGUUAAACCAAAUUUGUUUUGCAGGUCUCUGGAAAUUAACGGCGAAAGGGUAAGCCUAAACGGCUAAUCGUUUAUUUAAAAAUUGGCCCAACGGUAACUUUGACCGGCCUAAACGGUUAACCGUUAAUGGUUAACGGCGAACCGUUUUCGAGCAAACAGUCUAUAACGGCUAGUUUUUCAGCUCCAACUAUAAAUAAGCUCAAUCCAAUUCAAACAAGAAGAAUUCCAACGAUCAUCAUUGAGCAAAAUAUUGAGAAUAUAACUUUCAUUGAGCUUUAAAUCCUUGUAUUCAUCUCAUUCAUUCACACAUUGAGCUUUCACUUGUGAUUAAACACAUUGUGUGAGAGAGAUUUAUUUGUAAUCCUUUUUGUAAAAUCAAGUUAAAAGAUUGUAAGUGUUGGGAUACACUUGGGUUAAGAGAUUGGGGAUAAUCUCUUGUUGUAAAGGUCCAUUGACACCUUGGAAGUCAAUUGUAAGCGUUUGAAGCCUUGGGAGGCUAGCUUAGUGAAAUCCUCAAGCUCGGUGAGCUUGGAGGCAUGGACGUAGGCGGGGAUUGCCGAACCACGUAAAAAUCAUUGUGUUUGUUUUCUCUUCCCUUACUCUUUUAUAUUGUGAUUGAUUUAUUUGUUAUUGCUUUAAAUUAGUUUUGGAUUUGCAUUGAGUUUUGUUUUAGAAUUGAAUAAUUUUUAAUAUCCCAAUUCACCCCCCUCUUGGGUUGCCUAGUUAGUAUUUCAUUUGGUAUCAGAGCGAGGUGUUCUUGUGUAGACUUAACCGUCUAGAGUUAAAGAUCCAUGGCAACCUAUAGUGACUCAACCUUUAGGGAAGGACAAUCCACAAUUAGACCACCGUUCUUCGACGGUAAUGACUACCCAUAUUGGAAAACUAGGAUGAGAAUUUAUUUACAAGCUUUAGAUUAUGAAAUUUGGGAAAUUGUUUGUGAUGGUCCAUUUAUGCCUUUGACUAAAAACGAAGUUGGGGAAGAUAUUCCAAAACCUUCACGGGAAUGGAAUGAAUUGGAAAAGAGAAAAGCUUCUCUAAAUUCCAAAGCCAUGAAUGCCUUGUUUUGUGCACUUGAUAAGAAAGAGUUUCAUAGAGUGUCUAGUUGUGAAAGUGCUAAUGAAAUUUGGCACAAACUUGAAGUUGUUUAUGAAGGCACGAAUCAAGUGAAAGAGUCUAAAAUUAGUAGGUACACUCGGCAAUAUGAAUUGUUCCAAAUGGAACAAAAUGAGAGUGUGUAUUCUAUGAAUACUAGAUUUACGGACAUAGUGAACACUCUAGGAGCCCUAGGAAAGACCUUUUCAAAUAGCGAGAAAGUUAAGAAAAUCAUUAGGUCGUUACCUAAGAAAUGGAGACCAAAAAGGACUGUCAUUGAGGAAGCUCAAGAUUUGAAUAUCUUACCUAUUGAUGAUUUAAUUGGUUCUCUUAUUUCUUAUGAGGAAGACAUGGCAGCCGAAAGAGGCAAUGAGGAGAAGAAGAAAAGCAUUGCUCUCAAAGCCUCGAAACAUGAGAGUGAUGAGGAAAGCGAGCUGGAUGAGGAGGAGAUGGAUAUGCUGGCUAGGAGGUUCAGAAAACUUUUUAAGAAAUCCGAUGAGCGAAGAAAAUUUAGAGACCUCAAGAACCGAAAGGAGAAGAAGGAAGUAAUCAAAUGUUAUGAGUGCAAGAAGCCUAGCCAUAUAAGAACGGAAUGCCCUCUUCUCAACAAGCUGAAGAAGAAAGCAAUGAUAGCCACAUGGGAUGAUAGCGAUGAGGAAACAAGUGAUGAUGAAGAGCAUCAAGAAAUGACAAAUCUAGCUCUCAUGGCAAUUGGAGAUGAAUCGAAUGAUGAACUUGAUGAGGUAAAUGAUCUUUUUACUUAUGAUGAAUUAUAUGAUGCUUUUAAAGAAUUACAUGAUAAUUGGAUAAAAAUUGGUAAAAAGAAUGCAUGUCUUAAAAAGAAAAUGGUAGAGCUCAAAAAUGAAAAUGAAUCUCUAUGUGCAAAGAUUACAUGCCUAGAAUUAGAGAAUAAAACAUUGCAUGAUAGAGUUGCAUUAUCAAAUGAGAAACCUAGUACUUCACAUGAGCAUCUAGAAUAUCACAUAGAUGACUUGAAAAAUGAAAAUGAAAUGCUUAAGAAGAAGAGCAAUGAGUUAAAUGAGAUUGUUUUAAGAUUUACAAAUGGACAAAAGAUGUUGGAUAACUUGAUUAAUUCACAAAAAAUGUGUGUUUGAUAAAGGAGGACUUGGUUAUAAGCCACAUUUGAAACAAAAGUAUUAUAGGAACUACUUUGUGAAGAGUACAUCUACUAACAAUCAAGUUGUAUGUCAUUAUUGUAAUCAAAACGAUCACAUGAAGCUUGGUUGUCCUAUUAAAAGAAAAGUAUAUUAUGGAGUAAAAUGUGUUUUGGUUCCAAAAGGAAAAAUUGCUAACACUCAAGGACCCAAGAGUAUUUGGGUACCAAAGGGCACAACGUGAAUGUUUUCUUUGUAGGUACCACAAUCAAGGAAUGGUGGAGAGUUCCUUGAUGAAAGCUUGUGAGGAUAAUCACUUGAGUAUGAUCUAGGAGAAAAAGAUGAGGCAAGAUGAUUUAAUUGUUUUGGUAACAAUUUUUGCCAUAUUAAUUUUGUUGAAUGAAUCAUGAUAAAUGAAUUUGCGAAAAUAUGCUUGUAUGUUUACAUGAUGGAAUUAUCAUUGUGUAUAACAUUGAGUGAUUUAUCAUGAUGCCUUUGUUUGAUUUUGAUGAUUGUAUGGUCUUUGAUUUCAUCUUCUUAAUUGUCUAUCAUCAUUGUCCAUCUCUUAUAAAUGUGUGAAUUCAUAUGCCAUUAAUUGUGUUAUAUCAUCAUUCAUGUAUAAAAUUGAACUUAGAAAUUAUGAGGAAAAAGUAGUAUCCUUCAUCUUUACAAUCAGUACAAGGAUCCCUUUUAAAUAGAGCAAUUAUAACAGAAAAGGAAACUAAUUAAGAGCUAAUAUUUGACAGCUAUCAUCUAUAUUUACAGAGGAAAGGAUCCUACAAUAUCUCUAGGAUUAAGGCUAAAUUCAAGGCCUAAUUUCCAACACUCCCCCUCAAGCUGGUUUGAAGAUAUCUUCCAUAGCCAGCUUGCUAGUCAACUUAUCAAAUUGCUUCUUGUGCAAUCCCUUUGUUAAUACAUCAGCUAACUGUUCAGUUGUUGGAAGAUAUGUCAUACAUAUUAUUCCAGUGUUGAGUUUCUCCUUGAUGAAGUGUUUAUCCACUUCUAUAUGUUUUGUUCGAUCAUGAAGAACUGGAUUAUGAGCUAUAGAAAUAGCAACUUUGUUGUCACAAUAGACUUUCAAAGGAGUUGAGAAAGUAAAUUUCAGUUCUUCAAGAAUUCUUUUUAUCCACAUAACCUCGCAGAUUCCAUGGGCAACAACUCUGAAUUCUGCUUCUGCACUACUUCUAGCAACCACAUUCUGUUUUUUACUCCGCCAUGUAACUAGGUUCCCACCAACAAAGGAACAGUAGCCAGAUGUUGAUCUCCUGUCAGUGACACUUCUUGCCCAGUCUGCAUCUGUGUAGACUUCAACUUGAAGAUGUCCAUGUUUUUUGAACAUUAGGCCCCUCCCUGGAGUUCCUUUUAGGUAUCUUAAGAUCCUGUAGACUGCCUCAAAAUGCUCUGCCCCUGGUGAGUGCAUAAACUGACUUACCAUGCUGACUGCAAAGGCGAUAUCAGGUCGCGUAUGAGACAAGUAGAUCAACUUCCCUAUGAGUUUUUGAUACUGUUCCCUAUCCUUUACUUCUUCAACCUUAGCAGGUUGUAACUUCAAGUUAGGAUCAAUUGGGGUCUCUACCAUCUUACAACCAAGCAAACCUGUUUCUCCAAGGAGAUCAAGAACAUAUUUCCUCUGAUUCACAAAUAUACCUUCCUUGGAUCUUGCAAAUUCCAUUCCAAGGAAAUACUUAAGGACUCCCAAAUCCUUAAUUUGAAACUUCUUUGCAAGUCUCUUCUUGAGGGCUGCUAAUUCUGUUUCAUCAUCACCAGUUAAAAUGAUAUCAUCAACGUAAACAAUCAAAAUUGCAAUUUUACCGUCUUUUGAGUGUUUAUAAAAUAUUGUGUGAUCUCCUUGACUCUGCAAGAAGCCAUAACUGAUAACUGCCUUUCCAAAGCGUUCAAACCAUGCUCUUGGUGACUGUUUGAGACCAUAUAAUGACUUUCUUAAUCUGCAGACUUUAUCACUACCAAGACUCUUCUCAAAUCCUGGUGGUAGACUCAUGAACACCUCCUCUUUAAGAUCACCAUUGAGAAAUGUAUUUUUAACGUCAAGUUGGUGUAAAGGCCAAUCACAAUUCACUGCAAGAGAUAACAAAAUUAUGAUAGAAUUUAUUUUAGCAACAGGAGUAAAAGUCUCAUGAUAGUAAAUCCCAUAAGUCUGAGUGAAGCCUUUAGCCACCAGCCUCGCCUUGUACCUCUCAACGCUUCCAUACGCGUUACAUUUUAUCCUAAACACCCACUUACACCCAACUAUUUUCUUGUCUCUGGGUGGAUCAACUAUCUCCCAAGUACCACUUCUCCUCAAGGCAUUCAUCUCCUCCAUGACUGCUAAUUUCCAAUUCGGGUCAUCCAGUGCUUCCUGUACAUUUCUUGGAACAAACAAGUGUGAAAUCCUAGAUGUGAAAGCUUUAUGGUUUUUUGACAGUCUUUGAUAGGAAAGAUAAUUUGCAAUAGGAUGUUUGGUGCAGUUUCGAACACCUUUCCUAAUAGCUAUAGGGACAUCAAGAUCAGAAAUAAUUGGUGAAUUAUUGGAAACAAUCGAAGGAAUCAAAGCUGGAGUUGGGAUUUGAUUACCUGAAAUUUCAGUGCCGGAACUCAGUUUUUCAAAUUGGGCUUGUGUAGGAUUGACAUUCAAGUCUUUACUUCUCAGAUGAAAUCUCUUCCUAGUAUAAACCUGAAGUUCAGAAUUUAGAUCAUGUUGAUCUGUUUGUAGUACUUCUCCCCCUGAACGAGAAUCCCUUGUACUAGGCUCUAAAGAACUUGUUUUUCUCAACUGAUCAUUAUCAGAAAAGUGUGGUCCUUGAAUAGGACAAAUAACAUUUGGAAGUGGGAUAGAAAUGUCCCAAAAAUUGUCUUCUACUCCAUUUGUCUCCCCCUGAAGAGAAUUUUUUAUGAAAUAAGGAGUUUUUUCCAAAAACGACACAUCCAUACUCACAUGAAAUGUUUUUGUUUGAGGGUCAAAACACUUAUACCCCUUUUUGUUCGAUGAAUAACCCAAAAAUACACACUUUAUAGCACGUGGGUCAAGUUUUGAACGAAAUUGACUUGGAACAUGAACAUAGACAGUACACCCAAAAACUUUGACGGGUAAAUCAGAAAACAACCUUGUUGCAGGAAAAAAUUCUUUAAGGCAAUCAAGAGGUGUUUUGUAUUUUAACACCUUGGUAGGCAUCCUGUUUAUUAAAUAAGCUGCUGUUAAAACCGCUUCACCCCAUAAAUACUUAGGAAUAUGCAUGUAAAACAUUAUGGCACGUGCUACCUCAAGUAAAUGUUUAUUUUUCCGUUCUGCAAUGCCAUUUUGUUGAGGGGUAUUCCGACAUGUAGAUUGAUGAAAAAUGCCUUUAUCAUUCAAAUACUCACCCAAGUGCUCAUUGAAAUAUUCUGUUCCAUUGUCAGAAUGUAAAAUACCAAUUCUAGUUUGAAAUUGAUUUUCAAUCAUAGUGUAAAAAUUUUCAAAUAAAUAUUUUACGUCAGAUUUUUUAUGCAUGAGAUAAAUCCAACAUAAACGAGUAUGGUCAUCAAUAAAAGUAACAAACCAUUUUUUACCGGAAAGGGUAGUGACCUGAGAAGGACCCCAAACAUCACUAUGAAUCAAAUAAAAAGGUUUGGAGGCCUGGUACUGUUUUGGCAAAUAAGUAGAACGAUGAAGUUUUGCAAAAGUGCAACAUUCACAAUAAAAAGAAGAGCAAUCAAUCCCUUUAAAUAAUUCUGGAAAUAAGUAUUUCAAAUAAAGAAAACUAGGAUGUCCUAGUCUAUAGUGCCAUAGCAUUAUUUUUUCUCGAACAGAAAUUGAACUAGUACUAAUAAAGUUCUGAGCUUUUUUAUUACUAAUAGGUACUUCAUCAAAGUAGUAAAGACCUUCAAUCAUCCUAGCACGUCCAAUCAUCAUCCCCGAGUUCUGGUCCUGAAAUUCACAAUGUGAUUCAAAUAAGGUAAUACGACAAUUAGAAUCUCUAGAUAAUUUACUAACAGACAAAAGACUGCAGGCUAAUUUAGGGACAUGAAGAACAAAAUUGAGAUUAAUUUUCUCGGUCAGUUUGAUAAGUCCUUCUCCUGCAAUAGGUGAAAAACUACCAUCGGCAAUUCUAAUUUUUUUAUUUCCAGAACAAGGAGAAUAGGUAUUAAAUAAAUGAAAAGAACUAGUCAUGUGAUCAGAGGCUCCAGAAUCUAUGAUCCAUGGAGAAGAGUUUAAACAAGAAAGGGCUAUAGGAUUUCUACCUGUUUUUGCCAAAGAAACACUAGGAAUACCAGACGAGAAGUUGGAUUUUAUCAGCUUCAGGAGUUGAUCAAUCUGCUCUUUGUUAAAGUGGCCUGAGUUGGCUUCAUUGGCCGAAGGAAUCCCACGAUUCUUCUCUCCUUGCUUGCUGCUUUUCCAGUUUUCAGGUUUGCCAUGAAGCUUCCAACACUUCUCACGUGUAUGGCGAGGCUUGUGGCAAUGAUCGCACCAGGCCUGUGACUUAUCAUCAGACCUGCGCUGAUAAUUUGCAGUCUUGUAGGCUGCUGCAUCAGUAAUUAAGGCAGAAUUCUCAAUUGACUCACCGGCACUCCUUUUCCUGAGCAUUACGCUCCUUCGACUUUCUUCUCUUCUGACUUCAGCAAAGACUUCGCCAAUGGGUGGUAGAGGAGGUCUGCCAAUAAUCCUCCCUCGUACUUCAUCAAACUCAACAUUGAGGCCGGCAAGAAACUUGUAAAUACGACUGUCUUCCACGGUUUUCUUGUGGUGGUUGCAGUCAUCAGCGGAUUUCCAUUCAUAUGUGUUGAAGAGGUCAAGAUCUUGCCACAACCUUUUCAAAGAAUUGAAAUAUUUGGUGACAGAAUCAUCACCUUGACGAAUCUCUCCCAACCUUAAAGUUAACUCAAAAACCUGAGAUUGGUUGCCCAGGUCAGAAUACAUCUGACUAACGUUGUCCCACAAUUCUUUAGCAGUAGGAUAGCACAUAUAAUUGGAGCUUAUAUCCUCCUCCAUGGAGUUGACCAGCCAUGUCAUAACCAUGGAAUUUUCAGCAUCCCAAGUGGCAUACAGCGGAUCAUCAUUAGCAGGAACCUUCUUGUCACCAGUGAUGUAACCAAUUUUUCCUUGCCCACGGAUAUACAUCCGGACAGAUUGCGACCAGCGGAGGAAGUUGUCGCCAUUUAAGCGGAUGGUGGUGAUUUGAACAGAAUGAGAGUUGGAGUGGUUUCGCAGGGUCUCAGAUGUUUUUUCUGGAAUGGCAGCAGCAAGGGUUUGAGUGGUUUCAGACGUGACUUCUGACAUGGUUGCAGACACGAUUCCCUAUGCUCUGAUACCAACUUAGAAAUUAUGAGGAAAAAGUAGUAUCCUUCAUUUUUACAAUCAGUACAAGGAUCCCUUUUAAAUAGAGCAAUUAUAACAGAAAAGGAAACUAAUUAAGAGCUAAUAUUUGACAACUAUCAUCUAUAUUUACAGAGGAAAGGAUCCUACAAUAUCUCUAGGAUUAAGGCUAAAAUCAAGGCCUAAUUUCCAACAAUUGACAUUAUUGUUUGAUACGAUUUCAUAUGUUUGGUCUUGUAUACAUUUAUGCCUCAUGCAUUAAAAUGGCUUAUAAAACAUUUUUGGAUCAAUUAGUUAGUAUUUCAGGGGCAAGUAAUCGAGUAACGGAUGCACUCUCACUCUUAACAGAACCAGCAGAGUGUUCAGCUUUGGCGAUUCCUCAGUGCCAACAUUGGGAUUCCUUAAAGGUUGAGUUGGCAGAGGAUACCUUUCUGAAGAAACUAAGGGAAGACAUAACUUCGGGUACACAAUCUCACGUGGGGUUCUCAGUUGAGCAUGGAGUAUUGUUCUACAAGAGUCGGCUGGUUAUUCCUCAGACUACUAAGCUUCUUUUUGCUCUCAUAGGAGAGUUUCACACCACUCCGAUUGGGGGACAUUCGGGAGAAACAAAAACUUACCAACGCUUAGCAGCAGAAUUGUAUUGGAUAGGUAUGCGCAAGGAUGUCACCAGAUUUGUACGGGAAUGCACCAUCUGCCAGCAGAAUAAGUACUUGGCCACUACUCCCGCAGGGUUACUUCAACCUAUUCGACUACCAGCCCAGGUUUGGGAGGAAGUCACACUUGAUUUUAUUGAGAGGUUGCCUCGUUCUGAAGGGUGGGAUGCCAUCUUAGUAGUGGUGGACAGGCUGAGUAAGUAGGCUCACUUCAUAGGAUUAAAACAUCAUUUUUCUGCUGUUUCGGUUGCUGGAAUCUUUGUUCGUGAAAUUGUUAGGCUUCAUGGGAUACCACGGUCAAUUAUCUCUGACCGAGAUAGGAUAUUCUUGAGCCAUUUUUGGAGUGAAUUGUUGAAGCUGCAGGGAACUACUCUCAAAAGAAGCACCGCCUAUCAUCCACAAUCUGAUGGACAAACAGAAGUUGUCAACCGUUGUUUGGAAACGUAUCUAUGCUGCUUUGCUUCUGGAAAACCUCGAAGUUGGGCUCGCUCGUUGGCAUGGGCUGAGUAUUGGCAUAAUACUUCCUUCUACUCUUCUACACAUUGUACUCCAUUUCGUGCUCUCUAUGGAAGGGAUCCACCCCCUCUUAUUCGGUAUGAGCAAGGAGCUGCUUCGGUAUCUUUGGUAGAACAGUUAAUGGAGGAUCGUGAUGCCAUACUGGACGACCUGAGGAUGCAGUUGCUUCGUGCCCAGCAGCGGAUGAAGCUGCAAGCUGAUCAAAAGCGCCAUCAUGUAGAGUUCAAUGCAGGUGAUUUGGUAUUUCUGAAACUAAGACCUUACCGGCAGCGCUCCCUCGCUCAACGUAAGUUUGAGAAAUUAGUUGCACGUUACUACGGUCCAUUUAAGGUUCUUCAGCGUGUCGGGAAGGUGGCAUACAAACUAGAACUGCCUCAAACAGCAAAACUCCACCCUAUCUUUCAUGUUUCGCAGUUGAAAGAUAAGGUUUCAAACAACAAACUACAUACUAGUUUUCCUACUUCCAACAACAUUCUGCUCUCUACUGUGUUGUUUAUCUAACCAUUUCAGUUCAGGGCUUAUCAGUUGUUUCUUAUGGUAUUUAUAUAUCCGACAUAUUCUAGUUCGACAUGUAACGAUGUAGUUUGGUUGGUUCUUCUUGCUUUUUGUGCAAUUUGUAACUGCAGAUACGUGUGGGAAAACAUUUAAUGGAUCUUGUUGCUGUUGAUUAGUUCAAAGACAAAGAGAAUGGACCAUGUAGCUAGGCGUCAAGGCUGUGAUGCACAAGUAACUAUUCUUUUCUUUUUUAUUUUUCCUUUUCCAUUGACGGAUUAGAAGAAAAUACUGCCUGUGAGAUACUACAAUAUAAAUAACUUCUGGUGGUUCAUUGAAUCUAUAACACUCUGAGCCCUAUUCUAAAAUAUGUAGGUUGCUUCCAAAAAAGGGCUUUUCUCACUGAUCUUUAAUCUUCAAGUAAGCUUGUUUCAUUUCAGAAGGUAUUAAGUUUCAAACUUAUCGUUUUGGGAGGUUGUAUGGUUGUAACGUAAGCAUCUGCAGGUUCCUGGUUCAACAAAUUAUAGUAUGGUAUUUUAUUUUGUCACAAGGGAAUUAAUUACAGGAUCCCUUUUGCAAUGGUUUGUUGACGGCGAUGAUGAAUUUCGCAAUGAAACUUAUCCCAUCCGUUCCUAAGGUAUCCGUCUUGGUCUUCAUGUAUUAGGACUAUGUUAACUAAUACGUACCCUCCGCUGCAUAGUACACUUUAAUUUGUACAAAGAAGGCAUGCAUUUAGGUGUAAAUGUAUUAAUGGGUUGUACCUUCAAACUUCAUUUCCUUUUUCUACCGAUUUGAAUUUGUUUUGCAUUUGUUCUUGAUUUUAAGCAUUGAAUCAUGCAGGGGUCAUGGAUCGUGCGCCAGAGUGAUGGAAGCACCCCUUGUUUAUUAGGAAAAGCAGUUGAUUGUAACUAUAUCCGCGGUCCUAAGUACUUAGAAGUAAAUGCUCUUCGAAUUUCUAUAGUACAUGGGAUGUGUUCCCUUUCGAAUAGCUUGUUCAAUACCAUUAACAUGGUUUAACAUUGUUCAUCUUUCUGCAGAUUGAUGUUGGCAUGUUCUUCUACUGUUGCUAAUGGAGUUUUGGGCCUUGUAAUUGGUGUAAUUACGGCAGUGGUGGUUGACAUGGCUUUCCUUGUACAGGUAUGUAUGAUUGUUUUUUUCCUCUACUUCUAAAUGGACACAAGGGAAAAGACAUGAUUUUGAGAUAUUGUACUGCAAUUUGCAUAUUUGCAUACUUGAAUGUUCUCAGAAUGGUAUAAUGCUUCGUGUAUGCAGGCAAAUACUACAGGUGAAUUACCGGAGCGGCUGAUUGGAGCUGUACGUGUUUCUUAUAUAGAACUCAAGUCUGCUAUUGUCCCAAAGUUGGAACCAGAGACAUCAUGACUGUGUUUUCAUUUCACCUCAACUGUUUGUUUUUAAUUUAAAAAAAAUCAUUUGUUUUAGGUAUACAUACAUGUAUUUUGAUCCCGUUUUCAUUGUAAUUUCUCAUUUACUUUGAAAGAAAGUCAUUGGUGUUUUCGAAUGGGAAUUUUGCAUUAAAAAAUAAAGAAUACUUAAUAGGAAAUUUCAUGAUUCUUUAGUUACUAUUUUUGGAAUGAGUGUAAUAGUAUUAAAGUUGGUUUCUACUCGCAAACAAGUGAACUACUCGAUCCCCAACUGUGACCACGCUAAUUGUCAUUGUUUAAUAGCUACUACUUUUAAAACUCAACAACUAACAAAAAUACUAAUAAAAAAAUGAUUUUCUUAUGAUGCUGUGAAAACAUUUAUGGGUUCACUUAUUUCCACAAGAUCUAUAACAUGGUCUUGACUUCACGAAAUUCUUUUAAUUUAAAGGGUGCUGGUAUGAGAAAAUCAGUUUUACGGAUUAAUUCCUUUUAAUAAUGGUCGAGUUAAUUUUACUAUACUCAUAAAACUAUUCUUAUUCUGAUAAUGCCACAAAUGUUAUGCUGUUUUCUUCAGCUAAUGAUCUUCUAUCAGGACUAGUUAGAAAUCAAAUGCUUAAAACACCAAUUGAAUGAAUGAUGCAGAAGUUUAAACAGUAUCUAAUUGAAAAUUGCCUGAAACAUGAAACAUCAAUUCAAGUCCUUCCUUAAACAGAGAAUGCAUCAAACAAAUCCAAAGUGUCUUUCAAGUCUGUAGCAUGACUAAAAAAUUGUAAAUGCGUUCAGAACCAAAUUAUUCAAGUACAGGAGAACGAGCAAGUUGAAUCAUGUACAAGAGGUUGACCUAGUUCUAGAUAGCUUCUUCACUGUACCUGAAGGGUUGGCUCAAUCUUUUCUUUAGAAUUCUGCACAUUUUGUAAUUACUCGUGUAAGCAAGCAUACAUUACAAUCAUAAUAAUAAUAAAGCAAGAGUAAUGAUACGACCACAACCUCUUGUGCACAAAUAAUAUUGUACAAACUAACAUGACAUAAUAUGAUUGAGUAAUGAUACGACCACAAUCUUUUGUGCACAAAUAAUAUUGUACAAACUAAUAUGAUGUAAUAUGAUUGAUUAAACAAAAACAUAACAUAACCCUUAUAAUUUAUUUAUUAUUAUUUUAUAUUUUCAAUCAAGCAAUCAUAUUAUGCCACGUUAAUAGCUAUAGAAAUAAUUUGCUAGAUAGUGCCAACACUUCAUUGAUACUCACCAUUUCAUUGAACAAUUUUUUUAUGGUGUCAUUGAGGUUGCCUUCCCCACAUCCUUCAUCAUCAUCUUUUUCUUCUUCGGUGACGUUCACUUUGUUUAGCAUUGGUGUGUCUAAGACUCCUUGAGAGAAGAUCUUCAUUUUUGGACACUGUCUCACAACUACUUGUUUCAAGGACGGGAAUUCAAGAGCGUAAUUACCCAAACAAAAGCUUGUUAGGAUUGGCAAACAAUCAAGUUCCAAGUACUUUAAUUCCUUGAAAACAAUGCAAUCUUUCGUUUUUUCUCCAACCUGCGAUUGUAUGAUUUCUUCUAUCAUUUUGCAAUCAGCUAUCUUUAUUCUUUGAAGAUUCACUAGAUUUUUAGAUGCUGAGAGCGUCAACGCAUUUAUCAACCCGUGACACUUCGAUACUUGUAGUCCCCACAGAUUUUCCAAAUGCCACGAAGGUGGUACUAAUUUUUGUAACUUACUACAUUCUGAUAUUUCUAGACUUCCCAAGUUUGCAAACGCUUUGUUGGAUUCGUCAUUUUCCUUCCAGAGAUGCUGCACUUUGUGUAAUUUAGACAGCUUUAACUCCCUCAAUUUAGGGAAUGCAACCUGAAAAUCAACAAAAUUAAGUUGUAAAUUAAAAUAUGUAUCCAAUCUCUGCAGUCUUCCCCUGCAUAUUUUAUGGACAAGAUUAAUCACGACAUUUUAUAUUUUUUUUUCCAAAUUAGUAUGCUUUGCAGUAGGAUCCCAAAUAUAAGUAUCAAAUCGAUUACCCUUUGAAACACAUAAAUGAAAUCUGAUACUAAAUCCAAAUGAAUUAGCUAGGAAAACAGAGAUGCGACAAGCAUAAUUGAAAUAUAGUUCAUCACCUCAUGUUACCAGUCAUCGAAAUAAUUUAAGACAUUUUUAUAAUUCAUACUAUAAAGUUAGUUAAUAACUACGGUUAUAUUGUUAAAUCAGAUAUAAAUUAAGACGACGUGCAAAAAGAUGAGUCAUUAAAUUUGAUUUGAUUCUAAUGAAAUUAUAUCUGUGCGAAUGAAAGUGAAGGGAAAAAUAAUAAUAAUGAUUACCUUUUCAUUGAAGAGAUGUUGUAUUUGAUUAGCUACCAAGAUGUUCUCUUCUGAUUUUAAUUUUUGAGCUUCCUUAUUAUCUGCUGUCAUGUGCAGUACAGAUGUAGAAUUGGAUAUGAAUGUUUCCAUAUCAGGGCAAUUCUCAAUAGUUAGAUAUCUCAACUCAGGCAGUUCAAUUAUAUUCCCAGUGAAGUUGUAGAAUCUUUUGAGUUUUGGAAGAUCAAUGAGCCUUAGCCAGGAAAGCCUAGGAAACAGGGGGCCUAUAUGUUCUUCCUUAGCAUUUAGCUCUUCCAAAUGAAGCACCUCUUCUAGUGAAUCACAAUUCCUCACUUCUAGGUACCUUAAAUUGUUCAAGCAUCGUAGCAGAUUGGCAGGAAUAGCACUCGACAUAUUCGUGCAGUCAUCCACCACCAGCUCUCUUAAAUUGUUGAAGAAGCUGACAGGCAGUGCUUGGCCAUGCCAUAUUUCUUGCAAGCGUGGAAAAUGCGAGAGUUGCAAAUCCUUUAUAUCACGAAAUCCAAUCUGCACAAACCAAAACAAUUGCACUGGAUAUAUACAAAUUUUUUUUUAAAGGCAUUAUAUAUAUACACAUUAAACUUACAUGUUUUGUGUUUUAACUUUUAAAAAUAUAUAUACAAGGGAGGUGUAUAUGCUUAAAUGUGCAAGUGCAGGGGAGAUGCAUGAACAAUUUGGGUGAAUCGAUUAACACAUACCAUUUCUUCAUAACACUUUUGUAUAGUGGAAUUAAGGUUGCCUUCCCAAUGGUGCGGUUCACCCUCUUCCUUUUUACUCACUUGGACUUUGUAUAGCUUUGGUGUGGAUAAGAUUCCCAGAGAAAAAGUCAUCAUGUCCGGACAAAGUGUCACAAAAACUUGUUCCAGUGAUGGGAAUUCAAGAGUGUAAUUCUCCAAACAAAAGCUGGUAAGCCUUGGUAAAUCAUCAAGUAUCAAAACUUUUAAUUUGCUGAAAGCAAUACGAUUCUCCUUCACUUCUUGUCCAACAUGUCCUACGAUUUCUUCUAAUUUUGGGCAACCCGAUACUUUAAGAUUCACUAGACUACUAGGAAUUCCAACCUUAUUAUGAAAUGUCUGUGUGCAUGUGUGUGUGUAUUAAAAAAGUAAAAAUGUAAGAAUAUCAUUCAACUAGAUUCAAAGUAUGGUUAAUCAUACAAUUAUACAUUUUAUGAACAUAACAAAUUAUGAAAUGUCUACUAGAUAUUUUUUGUCAAACAAAAACGGAACAAGAUAAAUAAAUAAAUAAAAGCCACAUAAACAAAGAUAAUAAAAAUGCAUUUACACUAUUUAGUAUUAGGAACGUAGCAAGAAUUUAAGGCAAUUUCUAAAUAUUUUAGACUUAUUUUGCAUCUUGACGCCAGUUUUUAAACAAAAUUUGCAAAUUUCAACUAUUCCUUUUGGGAAAAAAAAUCAACCAAAAUGCCGCUUUUUCCCUUUUUCCUUGGUCCCUUUUUUUUAUGUAUAUUUAAUUUUGGAAACAAAAUUAAAGUGGAUCUUUAUUAAGUACUUGCAGACUCGAGGAAAUUUCUUUACAAUCAAGGAUCAGUUGUAAAUAAUCAUGAAUUUGUGGUUAAUUAAUGGCAUAAUCAGUUCGAACUAAACAAGAGAUAUUAAUUAAAUUUGAAGACUUUUCUUUUCUUUUUUUUUUCUUUUUCCAAUCAAAAUGUGAAGAAUUAAGGAAAAGAGAAAUAUAUAGAUGAAUUUGUGAACCUAUAAGAUGAGUGACUAUCCUUUAAUUUUUGAUAAUUGUACUUAUUAAGAUAUGAGCAGAAACAAUUAAAUUGAAUUAUAUUAUGCUGUUGAAUCGUGAUUAAAAAAAUUAUAUUGUUGAUUCUAAUGCUGGCAAACCUAAAAACUGGACUUAAAAUGUAGAUUUGAGAGUGGUGGUUCGAAGUACAAUACUUGAAAUAAAUAAUCAGUGGCUGAAUAUCAUUUGUAACCCAAAAAUGGUUAAAAUAUUGUUGGAUGUAAUUUGAAAAAAAAAAAAAAAGAUUCGAAAUGAAUACAACAACCUUACCAAUGGAGGAAAAAUAUUCAUUAGGUUAUCACACCUAGAUAUCUCCAAAUUCUUCAAUUUCCUGAAAGACUCCAAAGCAAGCUGGUGGUGCCAUAUUGUUCUCAGGUUAGCCAUCCACGCAAUAUCUAAUACCUCCAACCUAGGAAGUAGUACCUGGCAGUUAAAGAUUAAAUAACUAAUUAAUCGGCAUAAUCUAUUGAUAACCAAAUUAGAGGCGGAUAUUAACUAAAUUUGAAGACUCAAGGAAAAGACAAAUUAAAUAUUGUGGCUAAAAUUAAUUAAAAAAAAAACCUUUUCGUCAAAGAGAGGUGGAGAUUGCAUUUCAGAAUGAAGGGUGUCUGCUGGUGAGCUCGUAGAGAUGAAUCUUAACAUAUUAUUGCAACCAUGGAUCUCCAGGUUUAGCAAAGAAGGGAAUUCAACAACUAAAUCUGAAUGAAUCUGUCCCGUAUUGGCAAAACUUGUUAGUUCUGGAAGCCAUUCUAGCUUGAGGGAGUGUAGUUUAGGAAAAACCUUUAAUUCAAUCAACUUUCCUUCAUCUCUUUCUGACCACCCCGUGGUGUCGACUACCCCUUCCAUUGACUCACAAUAGCUUAUCUCAAGAUGUUGGAGUUUCGCAAGACUAUUAACCAUAGAAUAUGAAAACAGAUACUUCAGACAAUCACAACUCCACACGAUGACCUUUGUUAAGUUUUGACAACAGUACAUUCCUUGAUUAU
rnacentral:lncRNA from 1 species